GCCCGUUUAGCUCAGUGGUAGAGCGCGCCACUCGUAUUCUUCUGAUAUGGUGAGGUCGGUUGUUCAAUCCAGCCAAUGGGCA